GACGAACGCUGGCGGCGUGCUUAACACAUGCAAGUCGAACGGAAAGGCCCUGCUUGCAGGGUACUCGAGUGGCGAACGGGUGAGUAACACGUGGGUGAUCUGCCCUGCACUUCGGGAUAAGCCUGGGAAACUGGGUCUAAUACCGGAUAGGAGCCAUUUUUAGGGUGAUGGUUGGAAAGUUUUUUCGGUGUAGGAUGAGCUCGCGGCCUAUCUGCUUGUUGGUGGGGUAAUGGCCUACCAAGGCGGCGACGGGUAGCCGGCCUGAGAGGGUGGACGGCCACCUUGGGACUGAGAUACGGCCCAGACUCCUACGGUAGGCAGCAGUGGGGAAUAUUGCACAAUGGGCGCAAGCCUGAUGCAGCGACGCCGCGUGGGGGAUGACGGCCUUCGGGUUGUAAACUCCUUUCGCUAGGGACGAAGCUUUUUGUGACGGUACCUAGAUAAGAAGCACCGGCUAACUACGUG
rnacentral:rRNA from 1 species